rnacentral:lncRNA from 1 species
AUCUCAAAGAGGAAGCCAGAAAAGCUGCUCUCACCUCCGCUUUUCCCUGUUUGAUUUUCUGUGUACCUCUUGGAACUGGACUCUAAAAACAAGUUAAGAGAGCAUGGUGCAAAGUCUGGAAGCAAAUCUAGCUUUAUGUUUUAAGAGACCAGAGUCCCAUUUUGACUCGUGAAUCAAGAAUUUAGUUUCCCCACUCUCGUCUUGCCUCCAAAAAAAUAACGAAAAAGGAAUAUUUCACUCAUCCAGAUGAAGGUGGCCUGAUCCUCUUACCAUCUUAAAGUCAACCAGGUUGUUUUCGCUAUUCCGAAGAGAAUCUGCUUCCUAAGGUUUGAGGGCUGUCUUCUGAAUGUUUGAAACAUUGUUCAAGUGCUAGGUAGCAAGAUGAAUGAAUUCUCACAGGGGUGAUAUGAAAAAUAUGUGACAACCUAGACAGCAGGGCACCCACCAGCCAACUUAUGGGAAGUCAAGCCAGCCUUAAGGAUGCUAGCACCAGAGCAGAGUCCUGGAGACCCCUGAACCCAAAGACCCAUAGACUGAAGUCUCCCAGAGGCUAUACACUGGGCUGAUAUCAGGAACUCAUCAGCACAGCCAUGCAAAUUGUUCAAAUACUGAGAGAUUCUGUAGUGGUCAGUAAAGAACUGCUAUGCUGAGACUCCCAAGUGCCCCUGCCCAUGUUCUGGCCACCCAGCUUCUCUCUUGGAACCUUUGGACUUCCCAUGAUCCAGCAACUAAAAGGGUAAAGCUCACCACAGGAUCACCAGAGGAUUGAGGGUAUGUGAGAACUAUUUUUAAGAAGUCAUCUGACAGUGUUUGGUAAAUGGAGGCCAGCUACCCGCUCUCCAUUCCCCUGUGCUCUGAAUCUCCAGACCCGUCUAACAAGGAGGACAUCUGUGGACUCAGCAUUCUCUGAACAGCCUCAAAUACUGACCAGCUCUUAAGUCUUCUUUUCUUUGAGCUGCUUGUCAUCCAAGAACUCAAAGAAAAGCAGAUUUGCGUCAUAGGCCAGAGGGUGUCUUGGAACAAGGACUAAAUUCUGGAAGGCUGCGUGUUUCCUCUAUGGAGAAACAAACCAAACAUAGGAUGAGAACUAAGAUUUUUUGGUUUUGUUCUUAUUUUCCCUUUCUCUGGUUAUAGGCUCACUUUUCACAGCAUCCUGCUCACCCACCCUUGCAGUUGGACGCAUGGAUCUAUCAGGGUCAAUCAGAUCUUCUCUCAAAGGAAUGGGUGGUGCUAAAAUGAAUCUGAUUCAGCCCCCUAGGAAGUGCUGUGUCCCUGUUCCCUACAUGCUAGAGUUGCCCUGCUUCCUGAUUGUUCAGUUCUAGCUCUGAUUUGCUGAGUGACCUCAUUGUUCUUCUAAUGAAGCUCCCUUCCUUAUUUCUGUUGCUCACAUCCUGAGAAUUCUGACCAACAUACCCAGAUAGAAAACAAAUUAGUGGGGAAAGACAUAAGUGUACUAUCACUGAAAACCACACAGACAGUCAUUUUACACUU